UUCACUUAACACAGAUCACCACGUACGGCAUGCAGUCAGUAACUCUUGGGCGCCUCUGAUCAUGUGCAUGCACGAAGCACGAUAACGUCGUCCUCCACUAUCGGCCAUAAAAUUUAGCAUAUUUGCAUUAAAAAAUGACAGCUUGUAUAAAUACUACAUAUCUAGAUCAAAUAUUCAUGACCAAGUAUGUAUAUAUGUGUGCGUGUGUGUGGCCGGCAGCCUUGUUUUGGGCGAGAGAUCGAGUAUCUCAUGAUAAUGUUCCGGCAGUAGUAGUACUGUAUCUAGAAGUAGUAUCCAGUUGUGUGUACGUACGUGACUCUUUUCUGGCUAAUUAUAUCAGAAGGGUACCUCAGUUCACCAUGCAUGCCCCAUUAAUGUAGCUAGCGAGCUAGGUGCAUGAAGUAAUGCAUGGCCUUUUUUCAUUUGUUAUUAAGCUGCAUUUCCGGCCUUUUAUUAUAGUUCUGCCCGAACGUCAAUGCUGUAGAUCAUCAGGAUGUUUGCUCCGUGAUGUUUUUAAUCAGUGCAUGGAGAAGGGUAUCAAUGGUGCUCAAGAUCACAUUUUUCUAAUUAUUUGAGGUAAAUGCAAAUUAACCCUUUGAAAAUAAUGGUGGUUUGAAAAAAAAAAACAAACAAAAAGACAAUUAAAGAUAAGAAGCUACACACGACACAAUAGACAAUCCAGUUCUCUUUGUUCUCAGUGCACAAAUUAAAUCAUGUAUAUAUCAUGGGAUAUUCCUUUAAUUUAACAUUAAUUGAUGUAUUAUAUCAUCAUAUGUAAUAUUGUUAGAGUCACAAAAAGAUUUUAUAAAGUUAAAUUUACAAAUUGAUGUAAAUUUACAGAAUAUAUUAAAUUUAUUUUAUAAUAAGAAUAAUUUUAUAAAAUGACGUCUUUUAUUAAAUCACGGCAUUAAUUAAUAAAUUUAUAUUUAUGAACUGACUUUAAUGUCUAAAAUAUUUCUUUGGUCUGGGUCCGGGGAUGUCAUGUGUGGCUUUUAUAUGUUCAGUAUGAAAGAAUUGCUCUGGGUUCACUCACUAUAAUAUUCUAUCAAUUUGGCCCAUUACAUUUACUGUAGGCUCUUCUUGUUGCGUUUGCACAUGCAUGGACGUUCCACUUGUCCCAUUAUAUAUCUCUAGAUCUCUCAUUGUAAACUCUAUAAAUAUCGCCAGAGCUAAGGCUUCAGGCAAUUCAUAUGCUGAGGUUGCUUUAAGUUUCUUGAAAACUUAUAUGCAUAGCAGAUAUAACUACUCUAGUCUCUAGCUAGGCAACUACCAGCUUGCUUAAUUUAGCUGAUUUGGUUCUUCCCAUCUCUCUUGCUCUCUCCUUGUAUAACCAGUUGUCUUUCAAUCUCUCAGCUUGAUCCAUGGCCCAGAAAAAAAUUUUAAUCUCCGCCUGUCUUUUCUUUGUUUUGAUUUUCUUCCAAUAAACUUAGUUCAUUGAGGGAAGGCAUUUGCUUGUUGGGAAGAAUAACGAAUUUCAAAUGCUCCAAACUCAUAACAAAAUCCAUGAAAAGGAAACUAAUAAGCACGGAGGUAAGUUCUGUGAUGAUGAUCAUGACAUGACGGCCAUGAGCGACGCAAUUACUCAUGAAGCCAUAUUACUGUCUCCUCCUAUAGUAGCAGCUGACGAAGGUGUGGCACCUCCCCCGCCGCCUCCAGCUCAUGCCAUUAUCACUAAUUCAGGCCAACAACUCCAGGUCCUAGCCCUGGUAGUGGGCAUCCCAUUCAUGACCAGGCUAAAUAUUUCUCAAUCUUCCUGCAUGUAUAGAUGUUGCAUGCAUGCUGCAUGCAUAUACAUAUGUUCUCAUUGAUCGUUGCAUGUGCAGGAAAUGACUUCAUUAUCUGCAUUUAAAUGUAUCAUUAAUAAUGGUGUUGUGCUUCAAUUGCCAAUUAAGAAUUUAAGGUUAUAGCUAGCUAGGUGGUAUUGGGCAUCCCAUUCAUCCCUAGGCCAAUUUCUUGGUCUUCCUGCAUGUAUAUAUGUUGC